AUGACGACGACGGCGCCAUUAGGCGUCGUUUUGGCGUUGACCUCUCCUUGCACCAAGAACCUUCCCUGUGCAACGUGGUGGACUCCUGCAUUGCCUCUGAAGCUCUUGAAGCCUAAGGUGUUUGACGAGGUCUUCUCUGUCUUGGUUCUAUUUCUUACUCUACGGCGGCUGCUUCGUUGUAGGGGUGCGACGAAGCUCGGCAACGAUGACACACCACAAUCUCUUUAUAAGGGUAGCAUCGCAGUGAAGUCGAAGCUGCUGUGUCGCUUGGGCGGCAAGCUCGGCAACGAUAACAUGUGUGGGCUAUUUUAUCACCAUUGUGACAAAGCUUGGCCGAUACCUUGUGUCGGGCUCCAUCGUGGUAGUUUAGGUUAGGUUAGUUGUU
rnacentral:lncRNA from 1 species